UGGGGAAUAUUGGACAAUGGGCGAAAGCCUGAUCCAGCCAUGCCGCGUGAGUGACGAAGGCCUUAGGGUUGUAAAACUCUUUCGUCGGGGACGAUAAUGACGGUACCCGAAGAAGAAGCUCCGGCUAACCUCGUGCCAGCAGCCGCGGUAAUACGAAGGGAGCUAGCGUUGUUCGGAAUCACUGGGCGUAAAGCGCACGUAGGCGGAUAGUUAAGUCAGGGGUGAAAUCCUGGGGCUCAACCCCAGAACUGCCUUUGAUACUGGCUGUCUCGAGGUCGAGAGAGGUUGGUGGAAUUCCUAGUGUAGAGGUGAAAUUCGUAGAUAUUAGGAAGAACACCAGUGGCGAAGGCGGCCAACUGGCUCGAUACUGACGCUGAGGUGCGAAAGCGUGGGGAGCAAACAGGAUUAGAUACCCACGUAGUCCCUGAGCGGGCUGGCAAGGCGCAU
rnacentral:rRNA from 1 species